AGAAAAAAACACCCUGUCCAUUUGACUUAGAUGGUGUCACAGGGACACAGAGGUUGGGCCUCUAGGAGCAGAGGACACAGAAAAGCGAAGAGAAGACCUGGAGCUCCAAUGGUAGCGAGACAAAGGCCGCGCCAAAUCCCGGAAGCCGUCCUGUCCGCUCCAGCUACGUGCCUGAUUGGACGGUUCCUAGCCCAGCGAUCCUGAUUGGAUAAUGUUUAGGGCCCCACCCACUCAGGCCCUGAGUAGCGGAAGAUGUGCUCAGAUGCUGGGCUGAAUGAAGACAGAGUGAAACCUAAGCUGCCGCCUUUUCAGGCAGGGCUUUUUCCUGAGCUGAGCCAGUCCCGCCCCAGAGGGCAUUUGCAUUUAACCAUGCGUAUAAGAACAUCGCAGUUCAGACCAGCCACAUACCAGGCACUCAGUAGCCACACUUGGUCAAUAGCUGCUACAUUAAAGUGUAGCUUCGACGACAGGGGAUGAAGAUCCUGAAAAAAUCUUUUCCGCCAGAGGUGAAGGAAGAGCCUCUCCCUACCAACAUCUCUCUUCAGUUCCGAGGGUGGAACAGAUACUGUCCAUGUAAAAAGCAGAGGGCAGCAGGAAUAAAAUAAUCACAGGUACAUCAUUGCUGGCCCACCUGUUGGUGUACCUGUGAUUAUUUUAUUCCUAAGUUAUAAACUAAAGAUCUCUACAUUGUAAGCUAAAGACUGUUGAAGUAAGAAACUAAAUAAUACACAAAUACUUGCAAAGAUAUUUAUUUGUAAAUUGGCAUAAUUAAUAUUGUUAAAUGUCUGUAUUACACAAAAUGAUCUGCAGAUAUAAUACAACCUUUAUCAAAAACCAAUGACUUUCUUCACAGAAACAUUUAAAAACAAUUCCAAAAUUUAUACGGUACUAGAAAAGACUCUCACUAUGCAAUAAAAAAAAAUAAAAAAAAAAACAAACCCACAGCUGAGAACAUUCCCCUACCAGACUUCAAAAUAUCCUGCAAAGGUAUAGUAGCCAAAACUGUAUGGUACUGGCUUAAAAAUUAACUCAUAGGUUAAUGAAGCAGAAUAGAGAGACCAGAAGUAAAUCCAUGCAUUUACAAUUAAUUGAUUUUAGAUGAAGGUGACAAGUUAUUAAAAAAAGAGAGUCUCUUCAAUAAAUGAUGUUGGGAAAACUUUAUAUCCACAUGAAAACAAUAAAAUAAGACCCUCAUCUCAUACCAUGUAUAGAACUCAUCUAAAAUGAAUUAGAAACUUGAAUUUAAGACUUGAAACUCUGAAACUUCUACAAGAAAAAAUAUUGUUAAAGCUUUAUAACAUGAGUCCGGGCAAUGAUGUUUUGGAUUUAACCUCAAAAUCCUAGAGAACAAAUGUAAACAUAGAUAAAUCAGAUUAUUUCAAAUUAAAAAGCUAUUACACAUCAGCAUUUGCAAUCAAGAGAAUAAUAAGACAACUAAAAUGUGUGAGAAAAUAUUUCCAAAUUUUACAUCUGACAAGAGGUUAAAUAUCAAAAAUAUAUAAGAAACUCAAAUGACUAUACAACAAAGAAGACAACUAUUAAAAAUGAGCAAAAGGCCAAAAUAGACAUUUUUCAAAAAAGGACAUACACAUGACAAACAUAUCUUUAAAAAAAAGGUUCAAUGUCAGUUAUCUUCAGGGAAAGGCAAGCCAAAACAUUGAUAAGAUAUCAAUUCACUCUUGCUAGAAUGACUCUUAUUAAAAAGAAAAAGAUAACAAGUAUUAGUAAAUAGGGGAAAGAGAAUGCUUAAACACUGUUGGUGUGAAUAUAAAUCAGUAAAGCCAUUAUAAAAAACAGAAUGAAGAUUUCUCAAAAAGAUUAACAUAGUACUAUCAUAUGAUGCUGCAAUUGCACUAUUGGGUCUAAAUCCCAAAACAAAUAAAAUACGUAUGUUGAAGAGAAAUCUGCACUACUAUAUUUAUUGCAGAACUCUUCACAGAUUCAUAGUAUAGAAUCAGUCUAAGUGUCUAUCAUCCAAUAAGUGAAUAAAGACAAUGUGGUAUAUAUUUUUUGUUUGUAUGUAUUUUUUAUAUAAACAUAUAUAUAAUAUAUAUGUAUAUUUCAGGUUAUAUUUAUAGUAUAUAUAUUUAUAUAUAUUGUGUAUAUACAUAUUUUGUGUAUAUG
rnacentral:lncRNA from 1 species